UCGUGCCAAGGAGUCAGAAGGCUGGGGAUGGUACUCUGUAUAGGGUGUCAGCCAUAAUCUGGCUCCUAAAUAUGGGAAAGCCGCUUAACUCUUGGUGUGGUGCUGGCUUUUCUUUAUAAAAUGGGAUGAAGGGGAGACGGAGAGGUUCCUUUUCACUACAAAAGUCUCUUUCUCUUCCUCUCUCUCUUUCUUUUCUUUUUCUUUCAGCACUGCCAAGAGAAGGCUUUUUCUUUUGCUCAGGUUAAAUAAGAACAUCCUGCAAGGAGUCUGUUCUCUUAUACAGCCUGAAGAUCAAGUAAUAAUCAUUGACAUCGAUACUAAGCAUGUCGAUUUUGAAGAGACUGGCAUGUUUGCUGGCAGCUGUGUCUCAGAAAAAGCUGUCUUCAGCAAGGCAGAAGCAGAGGAUUUUCUAGAAGAUUUGCACUAUCAGCUUGGUAUUCAAUUCUUUAGCUUGAAAUGACUUCAGUGCCUGCUGGCAGCGCCUCCUAUAAAUAUUAAUUAAAAGCGGCAAGAUCACGGAGGUCUCUGGAGCGAAAUCACAGCCAGGUUUUAUGAAAACAGAUCCGAGAAGCUGAGAACUGACGUACAAAUGUCCGAAAUGGAUGAUUUCGGAAGCAUAGUCACAUUCCUAAAAAGUGUCUUCCCUUCAUUUUUGUGUACCCACUGACUUGUAGCCAAAACUCUCAGCUAGCAAUCUCAGGGUCUUUAUGUUUGUAAGUUUCUUGGAUGAGUGGUGUGGAGAAGCAUGGACUGCUAUUCCCAAAGUCUAACUAUGCACACAUGCAAACCUGACACAUGCAAGUGGCCAGAAUAAGCUUCUCCUGAUGAGACAAGUGAAUAUGAGCUGCUUAAAAUAUAUCCUUGUCAAAGGCUCUGCUAUUUUUAGAAAGGACAGGAAGGCACAAAGAUGAAGAUGAUCUGCCCACUCACUAACGUCAGGUCAGGGAGUAAUUCAGCUGUCUCAAAAAUAAACUAUUUGAAUAGC